ACCGUCAGAUCGCUGGUCAAAACAAUUAAUUAAUCAUAAGAAAACUGAUACUUCGAUUUAUUAUUUCAUGUAAAAAUUAUCACUGCGAGUUCCUGAUUUUCAAACUUCGGGAUCACUGCCGAGAUUUUUGGAAAUAAAUACCGGUCAUACUGAGUGACAGAAAUACGAAUAUCCAUCGACGGAGACAUCAGCUGUCAAAACACUGGCCGCAGCCAUCUUGCUGACCAGACGUCGUCGAGAUUGCCCCUCGCGAAGACUAAACGAACUCUUUAUGAACUCUUUCCGACAAUCGAUAAAUUAUCUAAUUACUGACUGUCGCGCAUCGAUUACCAUCGGAAAAUCCUUGUAACGAGUGCGCGUGAGACUCACCACGAAGCCGAGAUGCGCGACUGCUUCGGCGUCCCCGUCGGCCAUUUAAUUCAUUCUCAGUUUGACGUCGACAUAAGAUAGAGGUCAAAAUAGACCAUUUCAUAUUAAAUUCAUUUAAACUUAAAUUAAUUGUGCCUUUUCCUGUCAAGAUAAGCCGAGAAACUAUGAGGGGACGUCGGCGUAUCUCCGUGUUUCUGGACCUCCAUCGCAAACCGCUCAAGAUUGCGGAUAGUUUGAGGCAUUGGUUAGUGACCUAAGGAUUAAGGAGAACGACAACAGGUUGGAAGUAACACAAAUCAUUCUGGACAAGGUGUUAAAAAGAAAAAGUAUGAGUAGUGUGACAAGUCAAGCUAGUUGCAAGUUUGUUUUCAGCAAUGCUUCUAAAGUUAAAGUCGUUUCCAAAAAACAAAAGUGAAGACAAAACAGAAUAAGUUAAAGACGAAAUUGCAUUCAAUUGCAAUUUUUAAAUUACAAUAAUAGGACAAAGUGCUUUUCUGUAACUAGUCAUGUCAACAUUUUCGAUCUUCUUGUCUUAUGUUUAUGGCGAAUUUUCAAUUAAACUCGUUACGGACCAGUAGUUUAAAGAAACCAACCAUUUGUUUCUAUUCGAAUGCCUCACAGAUCAAAUGUAUAAAUGUAUAAAUAAGGUACAAUUUUAAAAUGUUUUCUGUUGGACAAAAAUAUUAAAAAAUUUUUAUAUAAAA